rnacentral:tRNA from 1 species
GCAAGGAUGGCAGAGUAGUGCGCUAGAUUUAGGAUCUAGAUAUAAAGAUAUUUCUUUUUCUUGCA